rnacentral:lncRNA from 1 species
GGUAAAGGUGUAGAGGAAACAUUCUGGUUGGUUGGGAGAGAUGGAUUCAACAAGCCAUUACCUGUACCGCCAGACCUUACUCCUGGGGCGAGCAACCAUGGUAUCAGCCUGGAUGAGAUUCCUGUGGACAGGCGGCAGAAAUUCCUGGAUCGACAGAAGAAUAUGGGAAACUGAGGUUGUGAUGCUCAUGUUUCUGCACCAGCCUAUCGGAUUUAGGAGAAAGUGGGGCAAGGGGAUGAAAGGGGUGGACUGAGGUGUUCACCCCCUCGAUUACCCUUUUCUACUUUAUUCAUUCCUAAAAAGAGUGGAAAAGCUCACUAGGACAUCUGAGAAGACAAAAACAACUUAGAACUCUGAAUGCCAGCCCAUCAAAACCAUCAGCUCAACAAGAAGGCAUGUACCAACUGCUAUGGAUGGUCACAGAGGACUUUUUAAAAACUAGUAAAGAGUUUAUACUGCAGUUCAUCUAAUACUAAAUUAAAGAUACUGCUGAGAUAA